GAAGUUUAUUAAUUGCCAAGAAAGAAAUAACUUCCAGAAUGCCUCCUCUUCAGCCUUGCCUGUUCACUGGAAUAAUGAAGCUGUAAACAAUAGUGUAAAGAAGUUCCAUCCAGUGAUUGAAGUUCAAUAGAAAACAAAGAAAUAGGCUGAUGUACAUCAAAUAGACCAUCUGUACUCUGAGUCCUUCCCAGGUUCACUAAAGGGGGAAGAGGGGACACAGUUUUAGAUUUAAUUUGUACUGUACCAGAUAUGAAUGUGAUAAUUUUCCAAUGAAUAUUUGUUAAUCUUAUCUAAUUUAAAUAAUUACAUGUUAAAUAAAAUGUGCAGGUGUUAAAUUGACUUCCUCCUGGGACCACUUAGCAUUUAUUUCUUGUUACCUGUAGAAGGACAGAAAGGAAACACAGAAGCCAUGUUUUUACUGAUGGUGCUAGGCAUUGGGAAAGCCCAGGGUAAUAGAAACUUUUUUUUUUUUUUUUUUUUUUAUUAUU